CUUAUGCCGGCGACCGCGGACGGGUGCGUAACGCGUAUGUAACCUACCUUUGACAGGGGGAUAACAUCGAGAAAUUGGUACUAAUACCCCAUAACAUCACCGGAGGCAUCUUCGGUGGUUGAAAACUCAGGUGGUCAGAGAUGGACAUGCGUUGUAUUAGCUAGUUGGUGAGGUAACGGCUCACCAAGGCGACGAUACAUAGGGGGACUGAGAGGUCAACCCCCCACAUUGGUACUGAGACACGGACCAAACUCCUACGGGAGGCAGCAG
rnacentral:rRNA from 1 species